UCGUGGCCCAGCUGGCUAGCUUUACUGACAUUGCUAGCUCGUAGUCGCAUUGCUAGCCCGCGGGCGCGUUGCAGGUCGACACAGGUGCGUUCAUUGCUAGGUUGCGGUUGCUAGCCCGCAGACAUGUCACAUGUCUACACGGGUGCGUUCCAGGUGGUCUUCAUUGCUUCAUCAUUUCUGGUUGUAAUUCCAUUAGUUAAUGUAACAGAUUAGCAUAAUUGUUUCUGAUUAUUUUGACUUAUUGGCCUCUACUUGUGUAUUUAUUUUGUACAAAUCCCGAAGCACUAUUGCAGGGCUGACCAAAUAUGUUUCUGAAGAGCUACCAUCCUGUAGGUUUUCACUCCAAACCCAGUAGUAGCUAACGUGAUUCAAUUUAUCAACCAGUUAGUUAGGUGCGCUAGAUAAACUACACAUUCAAACCCAGAAUCCUAUACUGGAUUGCUCCAGACUUCAAAGACAAUAUUUGGGAGAAUAGCCACGCGAGGCUAGUGUUGAACAUAUCACCUAACCACAUACUGGUGGUGUUCCUGCCUGAUUACAUUGCAGACAUUGCAUUGCAUCAACCAAUGGUUGUGACCCAAUUAAUCGACUGUCGGACAUUAAAUUGCUAUAUCAUAUGUGUUUAGCUGAUAUAUUAAACACCUUCCCAAGCUUAGCAAGAUCUGGCAGGUGUCUGCAAUGUAAUCAGGCAGGAAUGCCACCCAUAUGAUAUAGCAGAGCGGUAUAGCAAUCUAAUGCCUGACAGCUCAGUUGAUGACGUAGCAUGCAAAUGACUUGCUAGGCAACUAUAUUGCUUGAUGCAAUGCAUUAUCUGCAAUUUGGUCAGUGCCUGGAGCAUGACCAUCAAUUAGCUGAAUCAGGUAUUUUAGGUUAGGGUUGGACUGAAUACCCACAGGAUGUUAGAUCUCCAGGAAGAGGGUUAGGUAUAUCUGUUGUAACUUAUGUAAGUAGCAGAAUUCCCUUUUUCAAUGAAACUGAAAACAAGCGUUUCUUAUAGGACAAGUUCAGGUAGUCCCUUGCAGUUUCAGUCCAUUUUCAUUAUGUUUGGUGCCUAUUGAAUUCAACUCUGUACUGCCUCCAACCAAGUCCCAGGCUAUUGUGGGCACAAUGCCCCACGAUGGCUCAUUUGCACUUCUAUAGCUUUAGUUUAGUUUUUAUGUAGAGAGCAGUCUCACGCAUUGGUCGUUGAAUGAUGGCCGACCCAGAUCCUAGUUUAUGAAUUCAGAAAGACUGCCACUGCUCACGGGAAAGAUCAAAAGGAAUGAUGUGACAAACUGGUUGUAGUCUCCCAUUUCAUCUGUGUGUAGUAUCUUUAGAUUGGUCUGUUUCACUGGUCCACAGCAAGACUCCUUUUUGCCACACAAUAAUAAUAAUAAUAAUAAUAUAUGCCAUUUAGCGGACGCUUUUAUCCAAAGCGACUUACAGUCAUGUGUGCAUCAGUCGGUGGUAAUUGCUUUUGGUACAGCAUGAUAGGCAAAAUCUCUCCAAAGGUUAUAGUUUUAAUUUAUUAGUAGAACAUAUUAAGGCACAGUAUGAAUUGCAUUUAUCUCAAGGCCAUCACACUGUUAAAUAGCCAUCACUAGCCAGUACCCUGCCCUGAACUUACUCAUUUUCACUAGUUGUCGACCACCCGGUUACUCAACCCUGAAUCCUAGAGACUGCUGCCCUAUGUACAUAGACAUGAAAUCACUGGUCACUUUAAUGAUGAUUACAUACUGCUUUACUCAUUAUUCUAUAUUCAAGUCAAUGCUACUCCGACAUUGCUCAUCCUAAUAUUUUUAUAUUUCUUAAUUCUACUCUUUUACGUUUUGAUUUGUGUGUAUUGUUGUGAAUUGUUAGAUACUACUGCACUGUUGGCGCUAUAGGAACACAAGCAUUCCGCUACACUCGCAAUAACAUCUGCUAAAUAUUUGUAUGCAACCAGUACAAUUUUUAAUUUGAAUACAUCAUAGAAUCAUGUAGACGUUAAAUGUAUCUUUACCAGUAUAGGGUCUGAUAGCAUAAUGUAGGAAAUAGUCAGAAUGGCUUUGUCCUAGCAGGUAGAACUGAUAAGCUGUGACAUGGAUGUCAUGUCUUUCAGGAGUAAAAUGAUGGCUUCCUAUUGUCAUUACACUCCUGUGGUGAUUUGAAGGAUCAGGUUACAGUGGCUCCACUCUACAGCGUGCUCUCUCUUGUAGAGGGGGAGAGCAGGAAAUUGGCUGUUUUAUGGGUCAGUCAUAAAAUAUGCUGCCCUUAUGCUCUGUAGUGUUCGAGAUUGGAAUGUGAACUGUGGAACACAGACACCCUUGGACAUCAAAAGUUAUCGAGUUGGAUUGUUUGGGAGUCGAAACAGCAAUCCUUGUCCACAACCCCGAUGACCCCAUACCAGUCAGCGCAACCACAUCUGGGAGGGCAAAGGAAUUUAUUGAGGGCCAGUUUUCUGUACACAUUUCUUUUAAACCAAUCAGACUUGAUUUUCCUUUGCGUAAAAAUGUGUCAAUUCAUUAUAAUUCACAUUUCCUGUUACUGCACAAUUAUUUUCCUGCUGUAGCAAACUGACUCAAAUUAAGAUCCUACAUCUGUACAUCUAUAAUGACUUUUAAAUACACUCAUAUAGUACUGUGCCUCUUUUAUUGCUACACCUAGGCAAACCUGCAGCUUCACAGUCAAAUGGGUUUGACAAGGCUCGGAUGCAAGGAGUACAAGCCUUAUUCAACCAGAAGUCUAAUGAAGCAGGUGGACUUGCCAGAGUUCCAUACAUGGCUGUGGCUGCCAAGAAGGUGGCCAUUGAGGUAAAGGGCAUGCCAGGUGGGAUAGAGUUUUUUUAAAAGCCCUCCCACUAUGGCAUGGACCAACUAUCUACCAUUUCGGAGGCAGGCCGUGGCAUCAAGUUCACAAUAAGUAAGAUGCAAUGCUUUCUACAAUGUUUCAAUGGAGAAUUGUAAUGUCUUGGUCAUUGAGAUUAACAACAUUGACAUGUACAGGACAUUCCCUUUGAACAGAUACCCAUUGUGGCCAUUGCUCUCAUUAAAGGCAACGGUGGGCUUUGCUAUAAAUGGCCAUCCACCACUUGUUGUCUUUUGGGCCAAUGUGUCUGCUGAUUUUGAAUAUAGUCAUUUCAGAAUUAGAAAUUGGGUAAAUUUGUGUGAGCUCAUUUACCACACUACAUAAUGGAUGAGGUGUUUCAAGUGCAGACACUAAAUUAAACACACAUCUGUUUGUUAUUUGUUCAAAAUGUACUGUAAAUGUAGCCAACAAGUCAACCUGUAUUUUGUCUUUUAUGAAGAACAUACUUUAUUACUUUACACUUUAUUACUUUACAAUUUAUCACUUUGUAAUUGUCUGUAUUUUUUUUUCAGUCAUACAACAGGCAUCCUUGCAGUUGCAAUGAACUCCAUUAUUACUUGUCCAUGAUGAAUUGUUUUUUAAUAAAUGGUUUUUAAACAUU